rnacentral:rRNA from 1 species
UACGUAGGUGGCGAGCGUUGUCCGGAUUUACUGGGCGUAAAGCGCGCGCAGGCGGUUCUGUAAGUCCUGGGUUAAAUCGCCCGGCUCAACUGGGCGGGGGCCUGGGGGACUGCGGGACUGGAGGGGCCUAGAGGCCGGUGGAACUCCCGGUGUAGUGGUGAAAUGCGUAGAGAUCGGGAAGAACACCAGUGGCGAAGGCGGCCGGCUGGGGGCGCCCUGACGCUGAGGCGCGAGAGCGUGGGGAGCGAACCGG